CGGCAAGAUAGGUGGUGUCUCAGAAAGGAGGAAGGGCCCAACUGGCUAGUAGGCACGCUGGCAUUUCCCACACCAUGAAUGAAAGAGGCGGGAAACAGAUUGGGAAUACCAAUUCAACUCUGCAGGCUGAUCCAAGAUGUGUGCAUGGAGCAGUGCUCUGACUCUGGUGCCAGGCCAAUGAGUCAGGCCCUCCACAGGCCUUACCAGGAAGACAGGCUUGGUCUUGGCUGGAUCCCUACUCUACAGACUUCACUCCCUCAGGAAACAGGGCUAAGCAAAUGUGCCUACGGGGACACUUCUCAGAUACUCACCACAGGCUGGUAGGUGGGGUAAGUCUCCCCAACCCAAAACAUGAACAGCAUGAAGGCCACGAAGCCGAAGAGGUGCUUACACAUGAGAUUCCAGGAAACAGGUGUAGGGGAUGUGUCCACACGGUUCCUGAUAUACAUGUCAAGGUCCCAGUGCAUCUGAGGCAGAAAAGCAGAUAAAUACCACAUACUGCUCUUCCUGCAAAUGGCAGGCAGUCUGCAAAAGGGUGAUCAGAGCCUGAUAUAAAGUUCAAUAAAAGCAUUCUAUUGCCUCAGGACAAUACUCUGAGAAUCAAGUGUGAGCUACUCUAGCAUAUAGGACUAGGUGCUGGCUUAGCUCUAGGUUCUGCUGACUAAAGACAGCUCAAUCAUGGAAGUUCACAAUUUUCAAAGUACAUAGUUCUGAUUAUUUCCAGAAGUCCCAUUCCAUGUACCACACAUGGAACCUCAGAUCUCAGAUCACUGGACCUUGCUUCCUUGGGCAGAAAGCCUUAAUGUUAUUUAGACAGCAAAGUGCCAUUUAGACUAAAGAAAGAAUCCUCCGGAAGAUUUAGGGAGAAGGAAGGAAGGUCAAAUGGGAUAUGGAUUUCUCACCGGCUCACCCCAGUUCAACCUCAGGUCUUGGUGGUCCCAGUCAUACCAUGGAUCCCUCUCCUGCUGUGAGCGGUCAGGGAGCUUUGGGUAGUCCCCAUAUCUGGAGAGACAGAAAAACUUCUGGAAGGGGCUCUGAGCAGCCUCACUCAGAAAA